GCUGAAAUAAAUCAGCUCCAGCCUCAGCGUCACGGUGAGGUUGGAAUAUAAGAAAUAUGUCUACACUACUUAAAACAUCCAUAGCUGGCUACCACAAGAGAAGCGAAACUGAGAUCACCGUCAGUAAAUUACACGGUGGGUCUAAUCACUGUGCUGAAUGUUUCAUCUACCAAGGAGACACUCACUCCAGCAUCACGGCCAUUGGGGAGUAUUUGUCGCUCACUAGUCGUCCGUCGUGACGCAGGGAUUACAUACAGGAUACUGGUCAGACUAAGAGAGGAUUAACGUAAGAUGAUAAGAUAACGGGAAGUCAAGGAGAUUAUCGAUAAGCUGAUCAGGCUAGAGUGAAAAUAGUGGCAUUUGUUGGAUGGUAUCAUUAUAUAACAUCCACGGUGCAUGAGCAGAGUCGUGGCUAAAUGGUUCGCUCGUCGCGCCGAUGUCGCGGGUUCAACUUCCCACGGACAUAAUGUGGAAAAUCCAUCUUGUGUCCCCUGGACAUAUUACAUGACACGAUGGUUUGGUGGAAGGCACCCUGGGUGGUAACGUUGGGUAUUUGCAGAUGGGAAAGGACACGCUAGGCGGGUAUAGGGCAAGCUGAGUGGAAACACUUGGUGAAAACGCUGGGUAUCUGCAGGACACGUUAGGUGGGUAUAGGGCAAUCUCAGUGGAAACACUUGAUGGAAACGCUGGUUAUCUGCAGAACACGUUAGGUGGGUAUAGGGCAAGCUCAGUUGAAACACUUGGUGGAAACGCUGGGUAUCUGCAGGACACGUUAGGUGGGUAUAGGGCAAGCUCAGUGGAAACACUUGGUGGAAACGCUGGGUAUCUGCAGGACACGUUAGGUGGGUAUAGGGCAAGUUCAGUGGAAACACUUGGUGGAAACGCUUGGUAUCUGCAGGACACGUAGGUGGGUAUAAGGUAAUCUCAGUGGAAACACUUGGUGGAAACGCUGGGUAUCUGCAGGACAUGUUAGGUGGGUAUAGGGCAAUCUCAGUGGAAACACUUGAUGAAAACGCUGGGUAUCUGCAGGACACGUUAGGUGGGUAUAGGGCAAGUUCAGUGGAAACACUUGGUGGAAACGCUUGGUAUCUGCAGGACACGUUAGGUGGGUAUAGG